GAUGAACGCUGGCGGCGUGCCUAAUACAUGCAAGUCGAGCGAACAGACGAGGAGCUUGCUCCUUUGACGUUAGCGGCGGACGGGUGAGUAACACGUGGGUAACCUACCUAUAAGACUGGGAUAACUUCGGGAAACCGGAGCUAAUACCGGAUAAUAUUUCGAACCGCAUGGUUCGAUAGUGAAAGAUGGCUUUGCUAUCACUUAUAGAUGGACCUGCGCCGUAUUAGCUAGUUGGUAAGGUAACGGCUUACCAAGGCAACGAUACGUAGCCGACCUGAGAGGGUGAUCGGCCACACUGGAACUGAGACACGGUCCAGACUCCUACGGGAGGCAGCAGUAGGGAAUCUUCCGCAAUGGGCGAAAGCCUGACGGAGCAACGCCGCGUGAGUGAUGAAGGUCUUCGGAUCGUAAAACUCUGUUAUUAGGGAAGAACAAACGUGUAAGGAACUGUGCACGUCUUGACGGUACCUAAUCAGAAAGCCACGGCUAACUACGUG
rnacentral:rRNA from 1 species